rnacentral:rRNA from 1 species
UACAGAGGGGGCAAGCGUUGUUCGGAAUUACUGGGCGUAAAGGGCGCGUAGGCGGCCUUCUAAGUCAGACGUGAAAUCCCUCGGCUCAACCGGGGAACUGCGUCUGAGACUGGAAGGCUUGAAUCCGGGAGAGGGAUGUGGAAUUCCAGGUGUAGCGGUGAAAUGCGUAGAUAUCUGGAGGAACACCGGUGGCGAAGGCGGCAUCCUGGACCGGUAUUGACGCUGAGGCGCGAAAGCCAGGGGAGCAAAGCGGG